rnacentral:rRNA from 1 species
AGGAUGAACGCUAGCUACAGGCUUAACACAUGCAAGUCGAGGGGCAGCAUAUCGAAAGCUUGCUUUGAUGAUGGCGACCGGCGCACGGGUGAGUAACGCGUAUCCAACCUUCCCUAUACUAGAGGAUAGCCCGGCGAAAGUCGGAUUAAUACUCUAUGUUCUUCGUAGAAGACAUCUGAAAUGAAGCAAAGGUUUACCGGUAUAGGAUGGGGAUGCGUCUGAUUAGGUUGUUGGCGGGGUAACGGCCCACCAAGCCUACGAUCAGUAGGGUUCUGAGAGGAAGGUCCCCCACAUUGGAACUGAGACACGGUCCAAACUCCUACGGGAGGCAGCAGUGAGGAAUAUUGGUCAAUGGACGAGAGUCUGAACCAGCCAAGUAGCGUGCAGGAUGACGGCCCUAUGGGUUGUAAACUGCUUUUAUACAGGGAUAAGGUGACGUACGUGUACGUUAUUGUAGGUACUGUAUGAAUAAGGACCGGCUAAUUCCGUGCCAGCCGCCGC